AUUAAGUAAAAGAAUAUCAGUUACAUAUUCCCAUUUACUCUUAUUCUUCGCAUUGAAUAUCACAUGCGUUUUUCCUCUCUUUGGCAAUCAAUGUACAUCAACGCAGGUCAUGUUUCGUGCCGUUUCUGUUCUCCUUUCUCUUUAGAUCAGACUAUUAGAUACUUUCUUUUCCUUUAUCAUAUCUUUAUACUACUAGGAUUUCAUCAAUACUCGAAUCUCAAACUACACAGUCAAUUAGGCUGUUUGGACCUGCAAAGUUGCAAUUCUAAACUCAUGGCUGCUUUUACCGGAGAUAUCUGUCGUCCAGAUAAAGGGCGUCAAGGCAAGUGAUUAUUAGGGAAAAAGGAAAUUCGAUGGAGUCUUAUAUAACCAUUUUCAAGGGAGCUUUUUGGGUUCAACCAUAUGACAUCGAGAAGAAGUGGUUUUCUUUACUGCAAUUCAUCUAGCACCAGCAGAAUCACCAAACUCCAAAGAAACUGAGGUGCAAUGUAGGACACGAGGCUGUAUACUCUAGUGAUGUGAAAUGAUCAUGAUAGUAUGACCAUAAUAUUAGGGAAUUAGACUACGAAGUAUGACACUUAUUUUUUGAACUUCGUAGAUAUGACAUCGACAUAAUCUUGUAUAUAUUGUUAUGAUUAUGUGAAUGGAUUAUGGUGAAGAUUUCA